rnacentral:siRNA from 1 species
GAAACCCCCCGACGUGUGCCAUC